rnacentral:rRNA from 1 species
GUGUCAGCCGCCGCGGUAAUACGUAGGUGGCAAGCGUUGUCCGGAUUUACUGGGCGUAAAGGAUGCGUAGGCGGAUAUUUAAGUGAGAUGUGAAAUCCCCGGGCUUAACUUGGGGGAUGCAUUUCAGACUGGAUGUCUAGAGUGCAGGAGAGGAAAGCGGAAUUCCUAGUGUAGCGGUGAAAGGCGUAUAGAUUAGGAAGAAUACCAGUGGCGAAGGCGGUUUUCUGGACUGUAACUGAAGCUGAGGCA